AUUGAACGCUGGCGGCAGGCUUAACACAUGCAAGUCGAGCGGAGACUUCGGUCUUAGCGGCGAACGGGUGAGGAAUGCCUGGGAAUCUGCCUAUUAGUGGGGGAUAACGUUCCGAAAGGAACGCUAAUACCGCAUACGUCCUACGGGAGAAAGCAGGGGACCUUCGGGCCUUGCGCUAAUAGAUGAGCCCAGGUCGGAUUAGCUAGUUGGUGGGGUAAAGGCUCACCAAGGCGACGAUCCGUAGCUGGUCUGAGAGGAUGAUCAGCCACACUGGAACUGAGACACGGUCCAGACUCCUACGGGAGGCAGCAGUGGGGAAUAUUGGACAAUGGGCGAAAGCCUGAUCCAGCCAUGCCGCGUGUGUGAAGAAGGCCUUCGGGUUGUAAAGCACUUUAAGCGGGGAGGAAGUACUUGGGGCUAAUAUCCCUGGGUGUUGACGUUACCCGCAGAAUAAGCACCGGCUAACUCUGUGCCAGCAGCCGCCGUAAAAC
rnacentral:rRNA from 1 species